rnacentral:rRNA from 1 species
UAAUACGAAGGGUGCAAGCGUUAAUCGGAAUUACUGGGCGUAAAGCGCGCGUUGGUGGUUCAGUAAGUUGGAAGUGAAAUCCCCGGGCUCAACCUGGGAACUGCUUUCAAAACUGCUGAGCUAGAGUACGGUAGAGGGUGGUGGAAUUUCCUGUGUAGCGGUGAAAUGCGUAGAUAUAGGAAGGAACACCAGUGGCGAAGGCGACCACCUGGACUGAUACUGACACUGAGGUGCGAAAGCGUGGGGAGCAAACAGG